GCUAUUGACCUGAUGAGUCCUGUGUGCCUACCCUUGCUAAUUUGCAUGUACUCAAAUCACAAUCAAUUGCUCUGAGGGCUUCUUCAUAGUCAGGUCUCACCCUAUGCUGGAGACAGCCUCACACAGAUCACACACAGACAUGAGUGUGCCCACUCAGCUCCUGGGGUUGCUGCUGCUGUGGCUUAGAGAUGCCAGAUGUGACAUCCAGAUGACCCAGUCUCCAGCCUCCUUAUCUGCAUCUGUGGGAGAAAGUGUUACCAUCACAUGUCAAGCAAGUGAAAACGUUUACAGUUAUUUAGCAUGGUAUCAGCAGAAACCAGGGAAAUCUCCUCAGCUCCUGAUCUAUGCUGCAAACAUCUUGGCAGAUGGUGUGCCAUCAAGGUUCAGUGGUAGUGGAUCUGGCACACAGUUUUCUUUCAAGAUCAACAGCCUGCAGCCUGAAGAUGUUGCAACUUAUUACUGUCAACAUUAUUAUGAUACUCCUCCCACAGUGAUUGAAGCCUUGACAUAA